UUUGUAUGCUGUGGAAGGUGCUGCCACUCCUGGGCAGGUGGUCUUUGGUGAUAUAAUAAAGCAAGCUGAGCAAGCCGUGGGGGAACUAGCCAAUAAGCAGUGUUCCUCUGUGAUCCCUGCUCAGUUUCUGCUUCCAGAUUCCUGUCCUGCUUGAGUUCUGUCUUGGCAUCCCUCAGUAAUGGACUAUCAUCAGGAUAUGAUCUGGCUGUGCUUGAACUCCAUAUGCAUCGGAGAGUGACCUUGUGUUGUAGUCCUCCAGCCGCUGCUUUCAGUAUGUUGGGACUGUGAGGGAACCAUCACAUCUAGUCACCAAAAAUGUUAACAAGCCACUGGUAAUUUCUUUGAAGAUUACUUCCUAUUUCUCCUGAACAUCAGUUGUAAACAUGUAUGAAGAUGAUUCAUUCACUCAAGAGAAUGAACUCCUGCCAUCAGGCCCAGCUGCUCGGCGUUUUCUCUGCUGAUCCUUGGCAUCAGGCUUGAACUUGACCUUCUGAACAGGAGUCUGCAUCCUCACAAGACCCUCUCACAUAUGCAGAGUGACAUUUAAGAUAUACUGGUUCUGGGGGGUGGUAUAGAGAGAUGACUCACUUGUUGAGAGCACUGGCUACUCUUCCAGAGGACCCCAGUUUCGUUUUGUUUCCAGAACCCACUUGGUGGCUCAUAGCACCUCUACAUGGGUGCUGGGAAUCGAACCUGGGACCUCUGGAAGGGGGCCAGUGUUCUUGGAUUUUGAGCAAUCUCUCCAGCCCGCAGCCUGGCUUCUUCAAACUUUGUUGUUGUUUUUUGAAACAGGGUUUCUCUGUGUUGCUUUGGAGCCUGUCCUGGAACUAACUGGCCUUGAACUCACAGAGAUCCACCUGCCUCUGCCUCCUCAGUGCUGAGAUUAAAGGCGUGUGCCACCAUCACCCAGCUUUUUUAAAAGAAAUUAUUUGCUUUUAUUUUAUGUGUGUUGAUGUUUUGCCUAUGUGCAUGUCUGGUGUGAGGGUGCCAGCUCCUCUGGAGCUGGAGUUACAGACAGUUGUGAGCUGCCAUGUAGAUGCUGGGAAUUAAACCCUGGGUUCUCUGAAAGAGCAGCCAGUGCUCUUAACCACUGAGCAAUCAUUUCUCCAGCCCCAUUUUCAAACCUAUUUUUUGAGAUCCUAUUUCUUUUUAUUUCAAGUGUUUGCCUGAAUGUAUCCUAUGUACCAUGUGUGUACAGUGCUGUCAGAAAACGGUGUUGGAUUUUCUGGGGCUGGACUUGCAGAUAGUUAUAAGUCACCAUGUAAGAAUUGAACCUGGGAAUUGAACCUGGGUCCUCUGGAAGAACAGACAGUGCUCUUCACCACUGAGCAAUCUUACUAGCCAUUUCUUCAAAUGUUUUGCACCAAACUGUCUAAGGACAGCUCUCUGACUGCUUGUUGUGGUCCCACGUGUUUGAUGGGCCAAUUUCACUUGUGCCCGUCUUUGCCUUGUCAGCCUGAGUGUCUGUUCCUUGCAAGGGUCAGCUUUUGAAGGGCACUCUGACAUAAUUAAAGGAAAAUAAAAGUGAGUU
ensembl:lncRNA